UCCGCUCCCCGGGCAGUCGCUGGUUUUCGCAAGAGAGCUGGAGGAAAGUCCGGACACUACAGAGCAGUGUGCCUUGUGAAAACGGGGGACGGUGAUUGGAGACGAUCACUGGACAGAUAGUGCCGCAGAAAUUAAACCGCCUUUUAAUGCUUCGGCUGAGGAAGGUAAGGGUGAAAAGGUGGAGUAAGAGCCCACCGCGCUUAGGGUAACCGAAGCGGCUUGGUAAACCUCUCACAGUGCAAGACAGAACAGGGGAAGGGCAGCUCGUCCGUUUGAUCCCCGGGUAAUAGUCGCAGAGAUAAAUGACUGCCAAGGCUGGUAAUUGGACCAGCUAAACAGAAUCCGGCUUACAGGGGAGCGGCCUUU
rnacentral:RNase_P_RNA from 1 species